rnacentral:tRNA from 1 species
UCCCUAUAGCUCAAACAGUAAAGAAUCUGCCUGCAAUGCAGAAGGACUGGGUUCGAUUCCUAGGUUGGGAA